rnacentral:rRNA from 1 species
CGGGUGAGUAAUGCUUGGGAAUCUAGCUUAUGGAGGGGGAUAACUACGGGAAACUGUAGCUAAUACCGCGUAGUAUCGGAAGAUGAAAGUGUGGGACCUUCGGGCCACAUGCCAUAGGAUGAGCCCAAGUGGGAUUAGGUAGUUGGUGAGGUAAAGGCUCACCAAGCCGACGAUCUCUAGCUGGCUGAGAGGAUGACCAGCCACACUGGGACUGAGACACGGCCCAG